UAUGUUAUAGAUGUUUAUUGUUGUUAUUUUAAUAUAUUGGAUUAGUAUAGUGAGUGAUAGUUAUGGGGUUUCUAUAGUUUAUUUAGUACUGUUGUGGAAUUAUUUUUAUUUUUAUUAAAUUUAGGUUAUUUAAUACCUUUUGUAUUAGGGUUCUUUUAUGUUAAUGUGUAUUAAUAUUUUCUCGAUAAAUAUCGGGCUAUUUUAUUAGUUUUAAUUUCGUUGUAUAGAGUUUUUUAUAGUAAAAUAGUUAUGAAAUAUUAUUCAAGUUAUUUUGUAUCUAGUUCUUUUAGAGGUAUAAUAGAGUGUGUGUUUAUAUUGAAGUUAUGUAGGGAUUAGCUUAUGUAUUGUUUAUAUAAUGUUGGUGUUUUUAAUUGUUUGUGAUGUUAAAAGUUCUUAUUUUUAUGGUGUUAUUACUGAAUAAGUUGUAUUUAUUAUUUUUUUUAUUUAUGUUAUAAUUAAAGAUAUUAUGUUAAUUUGGGUUGUUAUGGUAUAAUGAUGAUAUUAGUAAUUUUAUUAUUUAUUUUUUAUUGAUUUGGAUUUAGGUGUGGUAAGUUGAAUGGAAAUUAGGGAUGAAGAAUUCGGCAAAAAUUGACUUUUGACUGUUUAGCAAAAACAUUGUUUUUUGUUUAGAUAAAAAAUAAUUUCUGCCCACUGCUGUUGUGGUAAAGGGCUGCAGUAUU
rnacentral:rRNA from 1 species